UUUUAUCGAGAGGUACUUUUCUUUUCUUUCUUCUUCGGU
rnacentral:misc_RNA from 1 species